GAACCAGUACCGUGAGGGAAAGGUGAAAAGCACCCCGGAAGGGGAGUGAAAUAGAACCUGAAACCGUGUGCUUACAAGUAGUCAGAGCCCGUUAAUGGGUGAUGGCGUGCCUUUUGUAGAAUGAACCGGCGAGUUACGAUUUGAUGCAAGGUUAAGCAGUAAAUGUGGAGCCGUAGCGAAAGCGAGUCUGAAUAGGGCGUUUAGUAUUUGGUCGUAGACCCGAAACCAGGUGAUCUACCCUUGGUCAGGUUGAAGUUCAGGUAACACUGAAUGGAGGACCGAACCGACUUACGUUGAAAAGUGAGCGGAUGAACUGAGGGUAGCGGAGAAAUUCCAAUCGAACCUGGAGAUAGCUGGUUCUCUCCGAAAUAGCUUUAGGGCUAGCCUCAAGUGAUGAUUAUUGGAGGUAGAGCACUGUUUGGACGAGGGGCCCCUCUCGGGUUACCGAAUUCAGACAAACUCCGAAUGCCAAUUAAUUUAACUUGGGAGUCAGAACAUGGGUGAUAAGGUCCGUGUUCGAAAGGGAAACAGCCCAGACCACCAGCUAAGGUCCCAAAAUAUAUGUUAAGUGGAAAAGGAUGUGGCGUUGCCCAGACAACUAGGAUGUUGGCUUAGAAGCAGCCAUCAUUUAAAGAGUGCGUAAUAGCUCACUAGUCGAGUGACACUGCGCCGAAAAUGUACCGGGGCUAAACAUAUUACCGAAGCUGUGGAUUGUCCUUUGGACAAUGGUAGGAGAGCGUUCUAAGGGCGUUGAAGCAUGAUCGUAAGGACAUGUGGAGCGCUUAGAAGUGAGAAUGCCGGUGUGAGUAGCGAAAGACGGGUGAGAAUCCCGUCCACCGAUUGACUAAGGUUUCCAGAGGAAGGCUCGUCCGCUCUGGGUUAGUCGGGUCCUAAGCUGAGGCCGACAGGCGUAGGCGAUGGAUAACAGGUUGAUAUUCCUGUACCACCUAUAAUCGUUUUAAUCGAUGGGGGGACGCAGUAGGAUAGGCGAAGCGUGCGAUUGGAUUGCACGUCUAAGCAGUAAGGCUGAGUAUUAGGCAAAUCCGGUACUCAUUAAGGCUGAGCUGUGAUGGGGAGAAGACAUUGUGUCUUCGAGUCGUUGAUUUCACACUGCCGAGAAAAGCCUCUAGAUAGAAAAUAGGUGCCCGUACCGCAAACCGACACAGGUAGUCAAGAUGAGAAUUCUAAGGUGAGCGAGCGAACUCUCGUUAAGGAACUCGGCAAAAUGACCCCGUAACUUCGGGAGAAGGGGUGCUCUUUAGGGUUAACGCCCAGAAGAGCCGCAGUGAAUAGGCCCAAGCGACUGUUUAUCAAAAACACAGGUCUCUGCUAAACCGUAAGGUGAUGUAUAGGGGCUGACGCCUGCCCGGUGCUGGAAGGUUAAGAGGAGUGGUUAGCUUCUGCGAAGCUACGAAUCGAAGCCCCAGUAAACGGCGGCCGUAACUAUAACGGUCCUAAGGUAGCGAAAUUCCUUGUCGGGUAAGUUCCGACCCGCACGAAAGGCGUAACGAUUUGGGCACUGUCUCAACGAGAGACUCGGUGAAAUCAUAGUACCUGUGAAGAUGCAGGUUACCCGCGACAGGACGGAAAGACCCCGUGGAGCUUUACUGUAGCCUGAUAUUGAAAUUCGGCACAGCUUGUACAGGAUAGGUAGGAGCCUUUGAAACGUGAGCGCUAGCUUACGUGGAGGCGCUGGUGGGAUACUACCCUAGCUGUGUUGGCUUUCUAACCCGCACCACUUAUCGUGGUGGGAGACAGUGUCAGGCGGGCAGUUUGACUGGGGCGGUCGCCUCCUAAAAGGUAACGGAGGCGCUCAAAGGUUCCCUCAGAAUGGUUGGAAAUCAUUCAUAGAGUGUAAAGGCAUAAGGGAGCUUGACUGCGAGACCUACAAGUCGAGCAGGGUCGAAAGACGGACUUAGUGAUCCGGUGGUUCCGCAUGGAAGGGCCAUCGCUCAACGGAUAAAAGCCUGUCUCUUAUACACAUCUCCGAGCCCACGAGACGGAGCUACAUCUCGUA
rnacentral:rRNA from 1 species